UCACUAGGUGUGUUUUUACCACUAGCUGUUGU
rnacentral:antisense_RNA from 1 species